CCUUUCUUCGUCACUUUUUUUUCUUCUAACAGUUGUUUCCCAGUAGUUGUUUUAGUGCCAGUAUUAUUGUUUGACAUGAAAAAUAAUGGCAUCAUCUUGAAUUUAUUUGAGUAAUUGAUUAGUGAUUUUAGUAAUUUUCAAUUUGGUCGCCGCAGGAGAUUCUUAGCAGAUAUUUCUCAAUACUCACUGUGACCCAAAAUUUGGACAAGCUGAGCCAUGGAAGAAAGUCUUUGGACCAAUUUUGUAUAUCUUAAAUCUGUCAUUGGCGGAGAGGAUCCCCUUACUCUCAGAUACGAUGCUAGAUAACAGGUGAUAAUUUGCAGCAACAAUGAUGAGAACAGAAGCGACUGAAGUUACUGGAAUUUAAGCACAAACGGCGCCAGUGAAGUACAAAAGGAACGAAACGGAGAUGGUCAAAUGCUUUAUGUGAGUGUUGCGAAUUGACAGGGUGGAAAACUGUGGUUUAUAUUGAUAGUUAGGGUGAGAAACCAAGGAUGGUGGAUUGAGGGAGGAGUUAACAGUUUUGUUCUUCUCUAUUGGUGCUAUAGAAUGAAAAGACAAGAAGAAGAUGAUGAAUUCCGAUUGUCAAGAACUAUGGUUUGCUUAAUGUUGCUUCAACUUCUUGGCCUGAGGCCUGAUUUCUGACACCCAUGGAGGAAAGAAUUAUGAAUGCAAAUUAUGUCUUUGUAUUUUAGGAACUUUAAGUACAAGUGCACAGACCUCUGGAUCUUUCUAAUCCCUUAGGAUAGAAAGAGUGAGUUUCUGUUCCUUCAUAUUUGCUAUUGAAGUCACGUGUUAAGGCAUUCAUUAAGCUGGUGAAUUACACUCACAUCAUGCCAACACGUUACAUACUGGAUGUGGAUCUAAAGGAUGUGGUGGAUGCUGAUGUUCUUCGGGCACGUGAUAAGAAGG